rnacentral:rRNA from 1 species
GGGGGGCCUUCUGGGUCACCUCCCACCCGUGUUUAUUUUACCUUGUUGCUUCGGCGGGCCCGCCUUAACUGGCCGCCGGGGGGCUUACGCCCCCGGGCCCGCGCCCGCCGAAGACACCCUCGAACUCUGUCUGAAGAUUGUAGUCUGAGUGAAAAUAUAAAUUAUUUAAAACUUUCAACAACGGAUCUCUUGGUUCCGGCAUCGAUGAAGAACGCAGCGAAAUGCGAUACGUAAUGUGAAUUGCAAAUUCAGUGAAUCAUCGAGUCUUUGAACGCACAUUGCGCCCCCUGGUAUUCCGGGGGGCAUGCCUGUCCGAGCGUCAUUGCUGCCCUCAAGCACGGCUUGUGUGUUGGGCCCCGUCCUCCGAUCCCGGGGGACGGGCCCGAAAGGCAGCGGCGGCACCGCGUCCGGUCCUCGAGCGUAUGGGGCUUUGUCACCCGCUCUGUAGGCCCGGCCGGCGCUUGCCGAUCAACCCAAAUUUUUAUCCAGGUUGACCUCGGAUCAGGUAGGGAUACCCGCUGAACUUAAGCAUAUCAAUAA